AGAGACAGCAGUCGCCGCGGGAAUACGUAGGUCCCGAGCGUUGUCCGGAUUUAUUGGGCGUAAAGGGAGCGCAGGCGGUUUAGUAAGUCUGAAGUUAAAGGCAUUGGCUCAACCAAUGUAUGCUUUGGAAACUGUUAGACUUGAGUGCAGAAGAGGAGAGUGGAAUUCCACGUGUAGCGGUGAAAUGCGUAGAGAUGUGAAGGAACACCAGUGGCGAAGGCGACUCUCUGGUCUGUAGCUGACGCUGAGGAGCGAAAGCGUGGGGAGCGAACAGGAUUAGAUACCCGCGUAGUCCCUGUCUCUUAUACA
rnacentral:rRNA from 1 species